CAGCAGCCGCGGUAAUGCAGAGGGUGCGAACGUUGCUCGGAAUUACUGGGCGUAAAGCGCGUGUAGGCGGGUCGGCAAGUCAGGCGUGAAAUCCCCAGGCUCAACCUGGGAACUGCGCUUGAAACUGCCGGUCUUGAGUAUCGGAGAGGGUGGCGGAAUUCCUGGUGUAGAGGUGAAGUUCGUAGAUAUCAGGAGGAACACCGGUGGCGAAGGCGGCCACCUGGACGAUAACUGACGCUGAGACGCGAAAGCGUGGGGAGCAAACAGGAUUAGAUACCCGAGUAGUCCCUGUCUCUUAUAC
rnacentral:rRNA from 1 species